UACGUAGGGUGCAAGCGUUGUCCGGAAUUAUUGGGCGUAAAGAGCUCGUAGGCGGUUCGUCGCGUCGGCUGUGAAAACCCGGAGCUCAACUCCGGGCCUGCAGUCGAUACGGGCGGACUUGAGUGUUGCAGGGGAGACUGGAAUUCCUGGUGUAGCGGUGAAAUGCGUAGAUAUCGAGAGGAACACCUGCGGCGAAGGCGGGUUGCUGGGCUGAUACUGACGCUGAGGCGCGAAAGCCAGGGGAGCGGACGGG
rnacentral:rRNA from 1 species